rnacentral:rRNA from 1 species
UAGUUAAGGUGAUGGCUUAACUAGCCUAAAACUCUCGUAGUCGAAGCUGAAAGGUUGAUCGACCACAUUGGGUCUGAAAAAACCCCAAUGCAAGUUAGUACAGCAGUGAGGAAUUUUGGUCAAUGGCCUAACGGCUGAACUGGCAACUUGGAGAAGUGGCAAGUCUUAUUUUGAUUAUAUCUUUGAAUAUGAUCUAUAGGAUUGUAUUAAAAUUGAAUAAAGCUUUGUUUAUAUAUUGAUAAUGACAGUAUAUAUACCGUGUCUUGACUAAUUGCGUGCCAGCAGUCGCGGUAAUACGUAAGAGACUAGUGUUAUUCAUCUUAAUUAGGUUUAAAGGGUACCUAGACGGUCAAUAUAUCUUCUAUAAUGUUAGUACUUGACUAGAGUUUUAUGUAAGAGGGCAGUACUUGAGGAGGAGAGAUGAAAUUCUAUGAUACCAAAGGGACUCGGUAAAGGCGAAGGCAGCCCUCUAUGUAAAAACUGACGUUAAAGGACGAAGGCACAGAGCACAAACAGGAUUAGAUACCCAAGUAGUCUUUGCAGUA